rnacentral:lncRNA from 1 species
UAUACCUUACAAGUAAAUCAUGGUUUUACGAGAUGAAUAGAUUUAUAAAGACAACACCAUUAGACCUUUCAAUAGCACAAAAAUAGAACUCUGACUGUCCGGGUUUAAUGUUUUAAUGGUGCCCUAUGGUUGUUAAGGAGCUGAUCAUCGGAUCCAGUGGUUAAACGAUGUGAGAGUGAGGACGAAGACUUUCUGUUCUGGCAUUGGCGGAGUUGGUUCUCUCUCUCCCAUGUACUGGACGCUGACAUGCAUCCUUCUCAUUGGGGGGUGGGGCCUUGCCCCUCUCUCUCACUCCUCUCCUACCUCCCUAGUUCUGUUUACUUCAGUCUUCAUCCUUCCUUCAAGUGAACCAUUUCUUCUUGCCCUCCAUCCCUCCCUUCUAGCUUCCUUUUAUACUCUCUCUCCUUUAUGGGGUUUACGGUUACUUGGUUUCUUUUCCUGGGCCGCUUUGCGGUCUAACUAUUUCCUACUUUUACUAGCAAGUUCCUGUAAAAUCUAAACUAUUAUUUUAGAGCCUGACAGAAGAAGGAUAAACCAAUGUGAUUCACUCAAGAACUAUAUAUACAGGAUGAUUAAAUAAUCAAGAACAUAAGUUAAAAGAACGUCAAAAUGUAAUUUUCUGUAUUUUAAUAACUAAGAUAUAAAGUAAUUUUAUCAAGCAUAUUAAAGGCAACUAAUAUUGGCACAUUAAAAAUGUUAAAACUGUAAAUAUGUCAUAUUUAAUCCAAAGUUAUCGUGGUAAAUAAUGAUCGUCAUGUUGCAGAUGAUCAUGGGAGAUCAAGAUCAGUAAAGACUUACUCCCUAAUCCUAUCUCAAGAAGUGAUCCGUUAAUUCAAAUGACAUGCAAGUUGUUUGAUCCAGUUGAUCAUCAAGAGUGAUCAGUAUAACCAGGAGUUCUUGAGGCUCCAAAGCAGAUGCGGAACAGGACUGAUACGAGAUAUCUUUACCAGGGCUUCCUAUCUACAGUUUGAUCCUACAUUUUAUAUUUACCCAUCUACACCUCAGUCAGCUUUAACAAAGGUCUCACGGUGAUCUAACGGGAUCUCACGGUGAUCUACAGCACACAGCUAGUCUGGAAAACCUCCCAAGAAUAUCCUGUUCUACAUGCAUUAAUUCUACAGAAUCAAGGAAUCAGUCCGCAGUGUUCACAGGACACACAGAAGAAAUUAUACUGACGCACGGAGAACUUGAAACCUGAUAAAACCCAAACAGAAGACAUUUGGAUCAGCUUGUGAGAAAACCAAACCGCCAUUAAAUGUAAGAUUUAUAUUAGAAAGCUUGGGACAUCAUUAUAUUUCGUAAAAUACUUUCAUGUGCCUUUUGAAACAGAUGUUUUAAGCUUUCAUAAAGUUCUCAUAUAAUGCUUGUAUCUGGUCGUAACAUUUCACCAUUUUGAAAUAUUGGAUUUUAAUGUAUUCUGUCAAAUGACUUUAUCUAGUCACAACAUUUUAUCAUUCAGCACAUUUCAUAUCAUCAUAUCAUACUAAUUAUGUUUAUAUUUUUAGCUUGACAGCAAAUGAUGAUCAAGAAAUAAAUUUUAAAAUAAGGACUUGAUUAUUUCUGUGUAUGGGGUGGUGAAAAAACAAUACACUGGUUAAAAUCAGUUACGCACUUCUAUUGUUCCGACGCUGAAAAUUUAAUUGAGGGUCAGCUAAAAGAUGAAAGGUGCACAGUUCCCUUCCGGUAUUUUCUUUCAUUUAAUCUCUACCAACCUUUUACUGUGGCCACAAGUUUGUGUGGGGCUCGUUUUCCGCCUUUGAGGAUUCGGCCCCUCACUGUCCCAUGUCCUCUUUUCCUAGACUUUUCCUUGACCCUCGACUUAAGGCUGACCUGUAUCUACUUAUAUAUUACUCUCACUCCUACUCCUAAUCCCUUAGUGCGCAAACAGGUAGCUCGUGUUCACAGCUUCAAAAUAAUUAACCAAACUAAACCUUCAUUUUAUCAAAAAAGUUCCAGGUCCCGAUUAGUCUCAUUAUUUGUGGGUAACCCUGUCCUACUUCAAAGUUACUAGUUCAGAUUAAGUAAUGAAUUAAGGCAAUACACAAGAUUUUUCCU